rnacentral:rRNA from 1 species
CCGCACAAGCGGUGGAGCAUGUGGUUUAAUUCGAUGCAACGCGAAGAACCUUACCUACACUUGACAUGCAGAGAACUUUCCAGAGAUGGAUUGGUGCCUUCGGGAACUGUGAGACAGGUGCUGCAUGGCUGUCGUCAGCUCGUGUCGUGAGAUGUUCGGUUAAGUCCGGCAACGAGCGCAACCCACAUCUUUAGUUGCCAGCAGUUCGGCUGGGCACUCUAGAGAAACUGCCCGUGAUAAGCGGGAGGAAGGUGUGGAUGACGUCAAGUCCUCAUGGCCCUUACGGGUUGGGCUACACACGUGCUACAAUGGUAAUGACAAUGGGUUAAUCCCAAAAAGUUAUCUCAGUUCGGAUUGGGGUCUGCAACUCGACCCCAUGAAGUCGGAAUCGCUAGUAAUCGCGUAACAGCAUGACGCGGUGAAUACGUUCCCGGGCCUUGUACACACCGCCCGUCAC